AGAGUGAACGCUGGCGGCGUGCUUAACACAUGCAAGUCGAACGAGAACGGGUUACAGCUUGCUGUAACUGUCAGCUAAGUGGCGCACGGGUGAGUAAUAUAUAGGUAACAUGCCCCAAAGAAGAGGAUAACGUUUGGAAACGAACGCUAAUACUCUAUAUGCCUUUAAGUCAUAAGACUGCAAGGGAAAUAUUUAUAGCUUUGGGAUUGGCCUGUACAGUAUCAGCUUGUUGGUGAGGUAAUGGCUCACCAAGGCUAUGACGCUUAACUGGUUUGAGAGGAUGAUCAGUCACACUGGAACUGAGACACGGUCCAGACUCCUACGGGAGGCAGCAGUGGGGAAUAUUGCACAAUGGACGAAAGUCUGAUGCAGCAACGCCGCGUGGAGGAUGACACAUUUCGGUGCGUAAACUCCUUUUAUAUAGGAAGAUAAUGACGGUACUAUAUGAAUAAGCACCGGCUAACUCCGUGCCAGCAGCCGCGGUAAUACGGAGGGUGCAAGCGUUACUCGGAAUCACUGGGCGUAAAGAGCGUGUAGGCGGGUUAAUAAGUUGGAAGUGAAAUCCUAUGGCUCAACCAUAGAACUGCUUUCAAAACUGUUGACCUAGAAUAUGGGAGAGGUAGAUGGAAUUUCUGGUGUAGGGGUAAAAUCCGUAGAGAUCAGAAGGAAUACCGAUUGCGAAGGCGAUCUACUGGAACAUUAUUGACGCUGAGACGCGAAAGCGUGGGGAGCAAACAGGAUUAGAUACCCUGGUAGUCCACGCCCUAAACGAUGCACACUAGUUGUUGCCUUGCUCGACAAGGCAGUAAUGCAGUUAACACAUUAAGUGUGCCGCCUGGGGUGUACGGUCGCAAGAUUA
rnacentral:rRNA from 1 species